UACGGAGGGUGCAAGCGUUAUCCGGAUUUACUGGGUUUAAAGGGUGUGUAGGCGGAUAUUUAAGUCAGAGGUGAAAUCUCCAGGCUCAACCUGGAAACUGCCUUUGAUACUAUUUAUCUUGAAUUUCGUUGAGGUUGGCAGAAUAUAUCAUGUAGCGGUGAAAUGCAUAGAUAUGAUAUAGAAUACCGAUUGCGUAGGCAGCUGGCUGAACGACGAUUGACGCUGAGGCACGAAAGCGUGGGUAGCGAAC
rnacentral:rRNA from 1 species